rnacentral:rRNA from 1 species
GACGAACGCUGGCGGCGUGCUUAACACAUGCAAGUCGAACGGAAAGGCCCUGCUUUUGUGGGGUGCUCGAGUGGCGAACGGGUGAGUAACACGUGAGUAACCUGCCCUUGACUUUGGGAUAACUUCAGGAAACUGGGGCUAAUACCGGAUAGGAGCUCCUGCUGCAUGGUGGGGGUUGGAAAGUUUCGGCGGUUGGGGAUGGACUCGCGGCUUAUCAGCUUGUUGGUGGGGUAGUGGCUUACCAAGGCUUUGACGGGUAGCCGGCCUGAGAGGGUGACCGGCCACAUUGGGACUGAGAUACGGCCCAGACUCCUACGGGAGGCAGCAGUGGGGAAUAUUGCACAAUGGGCGGAAGCCUUAUGCAGCAACGCCGCGUGCGGGAUGACGGCCUUCGGGCUGUAAACCGCUUUCGCCUGUGACGAAGCGUGAGUGACGGUAAUGGGUAAAGAAGCACCGGCUAACUACGUG